AGAGUUUGAUCAUGGCUCAGAUUGAACGCUGGCGGUAUGCUUAACACAUGCAAGUCGAACGGUAACAGGAAAAGCUUGCUUUUCGCUGACGAGUGGCGGACGGGUGCGUAAUGCGUAGGAAUCUGCCUAGUAGUGGGGGACAACUCGGAGAAAUUCGAGCUAAUACCGCAUAAGCCCUACGGGGGAAAACGGGGGAUCUUCUGACCUCGUGCUAUUAGAUGAGCCUACGUUAGAUUAGCUUGUUGGUGAGGUAAAAGCUCACCAAGGCGACGAUCUAUAGCUGGUCUGAGAGGAUGAUCAGCCACACUGGGACUGAGACACGGCCCAGACUCCUACGGGAGGCAGCAGUGGGGAAUAUUGGACAAUGGGCGAAAGCCUGAUUUUAGCAAUACCGCGUGUGUGAAGAAGGCCUGAGGGUUGUAAAGCACUUUCAAUUGGGAGGAAUACCUAAUGGUUAAUAGCCAUUAGAUUGACA
rnacentral:rRNA from 1 species